GUUCCAAGCCAUUUAGUGAGGAAGCUGCAGAGAGGUUGGGAGGCGCUUCUUCUCACCAACCGUUCUCACCCAGCACCUCCUACCCGAGGGCACCUCCUACCCUAGGGCUUCCCUGGUGCUGCUGCCUUACCUGGGUCUAAGGUCUGAGGUCUAGACGCUCAGCCGUCAGCCCCGGUGGCCUGGGUUUUGCCCCAUCUGGUCUGCCUGGUGCCCUGCCUCCACCAACGGGACCCUGAAGCGAGGGCAUUGGGCUGUGAGACUUGGUAGUUGAAGGGCUCCAGCCUGGGAGCUAAGCCUAAACUCUCUCCUCCUGGCUUCCAGUGGUUCCCCUGCAUGUCCUCCUCCUGCCAGCCAGGGUCUGGGCAGGAGAGAGGUGGCAGAGUUGCUGCCGCGGGGACAUCUGACAAAGGUGUGGGCAGAGUUAGGAAACAGUAAGGCAGGUGACGUCCCCGGGGAGGGGCCGCAGUAAGAGCUGUUGCCGCCUCGGGCCGGAGAGAGGCACAUGAGGGCUCGGUGUCUGGAAUGUGGAGUGUGGAGCCUUGAGAGAGGUGCCCCCAGAGCUGUG
rnacentral:lncRNA from 1 species